GGAUUGUUCACCCACCAAUAGGGAACGUGAGCUGGGUUUAGACUGUCGUGAGAUAGGUUAGUUUUACCCUACUGAUGAUAGUGUUGUAAUAGUAGUUCAACCUAGUAUGAGAGGAACUGUUGAUUCGCACAAUUGGUUAUUGCGCUUGGUUGAAAAGCCAGGGGCGCGAAGCUGCCGUGUGCUGGAUUAUGACUAAACGCCUCUAAGUCAGAAUCCAGGCUAGAAGCGACACAUGCGCCCACCGCCCACUUGCCGACCCGCAGUAGGGGCCGUCCGGCCCCCAAAGGCACGUGUCCUUGGUGAAGCCCGCGCGGUGGAUGAGCCACGCGUGCCACCUUGAAGUACAAUUCCUAUCUCGGGCGGCGGGUAGAAUCCUUUGCAGAUGACUUAAAUAUGCGAUGGGGUAUUGUAAGUGGCAGAGUGGCCUUGCUGCCACGAUACACUGAGAUUCAGCUCUGCGUCGCUCCGAUUCGUCCCUCCC
rnacentral:rRNA from 1 species